UACGAAGGGGGCUAGCGUUGCUCGGAAUCACUGGGCGUAAAGCGCCCGUAGGCGGAUUUGUAAGUCAGGGGUGAAAUCCCGGGGCUCAACCUCGGAACUGCCUUUGAUACUGCAAGUCUUGAGUCCGGAAGAGGUGAGUGGAAUUCCUAGUGUAGAGGUGAAAUUCGUAGAUAUUAGGAAGAACACCAGUGGCGAAGGCGGCUCACUGGUCCGGUACUGACGCUGAGGUGCGAAAGCGUGGGGAGCAAACAGG
rnacentral:rRNA from 1 species